UCCGAGUUGACCCCGGCAGUCUCCUAUGAGUCCCCGCCAUAACGCGCUGGCAACGGGACGCAAGGGUUGCGCUCGUUGCGGGACUUAACCCAACAUCUCACGACACGAGCUGACGACAGCCAUGCAGCACCUGUGUAGGCUGGUAUUGCUACCUCGUCCCGCUUUCACGGUUCUACUACCUACAUGUCAAGGCCAGGUAAGGUUCUUCGCGUUGCAUCGAAUUGAGCCACAUACUCCACCGCUUGUGCAGGCCCCCGUCAAUUCCUUUGAGUUUUAAUCUUGCGACCGUACUCCCCAGGCGGUCAACUUCACGCGUUAGCUUCGUUACCAAAGAAUUGCUUCCCCGACAACUAGUUGACAUAGUUUAGGGCGUGGACUAC
rnacentral:misc_RNA from 1 species